UCAUCCUCAGCUACAAGACAUGAGAGCGUUUCUCAAAAUAAAAACCCCGAAACACCAGCACCAAAAGGCUCCCAUGCCAGUAGCCGCUAUGACAAAAGGAAAAAAAAUGAACAAAUAUUAAAAAAUAAUUUAACUUCUGUUGUUUUUCUUUUGGAGGGGGGAAAUUCAACUCCUAUUCGUAUCCACAUACCAUAAUGUGUCCCUACAUCGAAAAGCACUGAAGGUGCUUAAAGACCGACAAGCACAGACAAACCUUCCGAGGUCCCCAUUUUCCCUCCCACGUGGUGCAGGCCAGCAUCCGUUCCCCCACACUCCGCAGGCCACCGCUGCCUUGCGACACCUGCUCGCAGCCCUCUGACCGAGCGCAGUACCUCCAGCGCUCCCCAGGCUCUCCAGCGUCCGCACCUCCGAAGCGAAACUGCUGCCACCAGCAAUUGUUCGCCACCGUGGCUUUGGGUUUCAUCGCCUUGUGGGGAGCUGUGAAGACCUGGUCUGCUUUAUGAGCACCGCAGAUGGUUUUAUUUGGUUUGUCUAUCCUGUGCAUCUCAGAGCUGUGGCUGUGCACUGGAGGAGCCACCGAGGCUGUGCACUGGAGGACCCUCUGCGUCUAUCUUUCUUCACUCUGCAUUACAUUUUGAAGGCUCGGCCAAGCACUGGGUGUCAGGAUGGCAUCCUUUUCCAUGGGUGAGUAAUAUUCCACGAACAGGCUGUUCCCACAAGGACAGGUGUCAAACCUUGUCUGCUGGCUGGGGGAAGCCACCACACUGCUCUCAAGGGCCACACGUGGCUCUGGAAGCUGCUUCUGAAGGCCUGUGGACAGAGAGGGAGCGGUCCUGCUUGGGAGUCCACGACACACCUGGGACCCACGACGGUUAGGCUGACCUGAAGGCUUUCUGUUUGGGCCUGUGAUCUCCUCAGCUGAGUGCUCUCUGGAACCAGGACACCUGUGCCACGUGGAUGGUACUGGAAGUACACUCUGUCCUCUAGUGGCCUGACAAGCCACCAAGAGGGCGUGCCCUCAGCUAGAGCCCCUCCCCCAUCAGCAGAGGCAGCAGGAUUUGGAGCUUGUGCCCCACUAGUGGUCUCUUUGCACCCCAGCUUCCUGCAGGUUUGUAAGGCGUGGCAGUCAUCACCCCUACCUCAUAAAGUCCCGGAGAGAAGUCAAUGGUUUCAGGUUAUAAUGUAAACAAAGGAGAGAGAUUCUGCAAGGGCCCUGGCUCCCCUGCUCUCCGCUCCCAGGGUGUCCCAUUCAUGGGCUCCCUGGCAUCUUGGUUGUCUCUCUUAGGAGACGGCAGUGCUGUAAAUACCCAUGACUGCAUACCACUGAGCUCAACACCCGCUCCUAGUGGGCUCUGGAUAAACAUUGGGUAAAAGAAUCAGUGAGUGAAACUCCUUCCCUGGCCAACAGGCUGUUUCCGGAAAAGGGAAUCCCAGAGAAGCACCCUUCCCUGUUAAUUCUCGAUGAUCCCCCAAAGUUGGAGGCUCACUUCCUGGACUGCUUCAUCCUGGCCUUGGGUGUGACUGGGAGUCUGCAGGGUCUUAGAGCAAGGUUUCUGGGAGAACAGGGCGGUGUGAGGUGCAAGGGCUUCAAAAACCAGGAGGUGUCGGGGGGGGGGGGGGGGGGGUGCAGCUCUGGAGAACACGGGC